rfam:Fibrobacter sp. TWH4 genome assembly, contig: Ga0136283_103
GGAGGGAUGGCCGAGUGGUUGAAGGCGCACGCUUGGAAAGCGUGUUUACCUCACGGUAACGAGGGUUCGAAUCCCUCUCCCUCUU